AAUGAACGCUGGCGGCGUGCUUAACACAUGCAAGUCGCACGAGAACGCUUUAGCUUGCUAGAGCUAGUAAAGUGGCGCACGGGUGAGUAACGCGUGGGUAAUCUACCCCUGAAUUUGGGAUAACGUUGCGAAAGCGACGCUAAUACCGGAUGAUAUCUUUAUGACUUUGGUUGUUGAGAUCAAAGGUGGCCUCUACAUGUAAGCUACUGUUUGGGGAUGAGCCCGCGUACCAUUAGCUAGUUGGUAGGGUAAAGGCCUACCAAGGCGACGAUGGUUAGCUGGUCUGAGAGGAUGAUCAGCCACACUGGAACUGGAACACGGUCCAGACUCCUACGGGAGGCAGCAGUGAGGAAUUUUGCGCAAUGGGCGAAAGCCUGACGCAGCAACGCCGCGUGAGUGAUGAAGGAUUUCGGUUCGUAAAGCUCUGUCAAGUGGGAAGAACCUAUAUAUUGUUAAUAGCGAUAUGUAC
rnacentral:rRNA from 1 species